GUGCUGGCUUCAGCAGCACAUAUACUAAAAUUGGAACGAUACAGAGAAGAUUCACAUGGCCCCUGUGCAACAAUG
rnacentral:snRNA from 1 species